rnacentral:rRNA from 1 species
UUAGGAAACGACUGACUUAACUACCGCAUGAUGCAGUAGGGUCGCAUGUAUUUCUUAUGACCAAAGAUUUUAUCGCUUCAAGAUGGCCUCGCGUCUGAUUAGCUAGUUGGCGGGUAACGGCCCACCAAGGCGACGAUCAGUAGCCGGACUGAGAGGUUGAACGGCCACAUUGGGACUGAGAUACGGCCCAGACUCCUACGGGAGGCAGCAGUGGGGAAUAUUGGGCAAUGGGCGCAAGCCUGACCCAGCAACGCCGCGUGAAGGAAGAAGGCUUUCGGGUUGUAAACUUCUUUUAAGAGGGAAGAGCAGAAGACGGUACCUCUAGAAUAAGCCACGGCUAACUACGUG